GAGGCAGCUCCUGCUCGGCUCUCCCGGCUCUCCCGCUCCUUCCCUCCCUCCUCCCGCCCGCCCUCCCGCCGGGGAGGGCCCGUUCCGCUGGCGGCUCCGGGAGCCCGCGGCGCUGUCAGGGCCGGGCUCUGAGGGAACUGGAAGGCUGCUGGAAGGUCUCCCUGGAGCAUUCUCCAGGUUGAACAACUCCAGCCUGUUCAGCCGUUCUUCACAGGAGAGAUGCUACAUCCCCUGAGCCUUGGCCUAAUCUGGAUGUGCUCCUGCAGAAGCUCUCCAUAAGCCUUCACAAAUGUCAGUGGAAAACAAAGCAACGUGCAAAUAAUAAAGCACAAAACAGUAAUUUAUUAUUGGGUAUUUYGAAGCAGAAUAAAGGAAAUAAUGAGCAUGAAAAAUUAUUCAUGGGACUGAUAUUAUUUCUUU